GACGAACGCUGGCGGCGUGCCUAACACAUGCAAGUCGAACGAGAGCGGCCGGUCGUUGCACUGGUCACUCUAGUCGCGAACGGGAGAGGAACACGUGGGGCACCUAUCCAGCGGAGGGGGAUAACAUUCGGAGACGAAUGCUAAAACCUCAUAUGUCUGCCAACCGUAGGGUUUGAAGAGUAAGAGAGGCACAGGCUUCUGCGCGUGGGUGGAGCGGCGGUGCAUUAGCUAGGUGGUGAGGUAACGGCACACCAAGGCAGGGAUACAUAGCGGACCUGAGAGGGUGAUCGGCCACAUUGGGACUGAGCCACGGCACAGACUACUACGGGAGGCAGCAGUAGGGAAACGUACGCAAUGGACGGAAUUCUGACGUAGCACAGCCGCGUGAGGGAAAAAGGUAUUGGGCUCUUAAAACUAUGCUGUUUGUGAAGAAGGAUUGCUAGAGUAUCGGGUAGGGAGUUGACGGUACCUAACGAGUAAGCCACGGCUAACUCCGUG
rnacentral:rRNA from 1 species